AGUGAACGCUGGCGGUAGGCCUAACACAUGCAAGUCGAACGGCAGCACAGUAAGAGCUUGCUCUUACGGGUGGCGAGUGGCGGACGGGUGAGGAAUACAUCGGAAUCUACUUUUUCAUGGGGGAUAACGUAGGGAAACUUACGCUAAUACCGCAUACGACCUACGGGUGAAAGCAGGGGAUCUUCGGACCUUGCGCGAUUGAAUGGGCCGAUGUCGGAUUAGCUAGUUGGCGGGGUAAAGGCCCACCAAGGCGACGAUCCGUAGCUGGUCUGAGAGGAUGAUCAGCCACACUGGAACUGAGACACGGUCCAGACUCCUACGGGAGGCAGCAGUGGGGAAUAUUGGACAAUGGGCGCAAGCCUGAUCCAGCCAUACCGCGUGGGUGAAGAAGGCCUUCGGGUUGUAAAGCCCUUUUGUUGGGAAAGAAAAGCAGCAGGUUAAUACCCCGCUGUUCUGACGGUACCCAAAGAAUAAGCACCGGCUAACUUCGUG
rnacentral:rRNA from 1 species